AUUGAACGCUGGCGGCAUGCCUUACACAUGCAAGUCGAACGGCAGCACGGGUGCUUGCACCUGGUGGCGAGUGGCGAACGGGUGAGUAAUACAUCGGAACAUGUCCUGUAGUGGGGGAUAGCCCGGCGAAAGCCGGAUUAAUACCGCAUACGAUCCAUGGAUGAAAGCGGGGGACCUUCGGGCCUCGCGCUAUAGGGUUGGCCGAUGGCUGAUUAGCUAGUUGGUGGGGUAAAGGCCUACCAAGGCGACGAUCAGUAGCUGGUCUGAGAGGACGACCAGCCACACUGGGACUGAGACACGGCCCAGACUCCUACGGGAGGCAGCAGUGGGGAAUUUUGGACAAUGGGCGAAAGCCUGAUCCAGCAAUGCCGCGUGUGUGAAGAAGGCCUUCGGGUUGUAAAGCACUUUUGUCCGGAAAGAAAUCCUUGGCUCUAAUACAGUCGGGGGAUGACGGUACCGGAAGAAUAAGCACCGGCU
rnacentral:rRNA from 1 species